CCAUAUGUCUCCUACAUGAAUGCCCAAAUCCCGUCUGAUCUUGGAAGCUGAGCAGGUUUGGGUGUGGUUGGUUCUUGGAUGGGAAACCACAGGGAAUAGCAGGUGUCACGUUGG
rnacentral:rRNA from 1 species